AUGAACGCUGGCGGCGUGCCUCAUACAUGCAAGUCGAGCGAACGGACGAGAAGCUUGCUUUUCUGAUGUUAGCGGCGGACGGGUGAGUAACACGUGGAUAACCUACCUAUAAGACUGGGAUAACUUCGGGAAACCGGAGCUAAUACCGGAUAAUAUUUUGAACCGCAUGGUUCAAAAGUGAAAGACGGUCUUGCUGUCACUUAUAGAUGGAUCCGCGCUGCAUUAGCUAGUUGGUAAGGUAACGGCUUACCAAGGCAAAGAUGCAUAGCCGACCUGAGAGGGUGAUCGGCCACACUGGAACUGAGACACGGUCCAGACUCCUACGGGAGGCAGCAGUAGGGAAUCUUCCGCAAUGGGCGAAAGCCUGACGGAGCAACGCCGCGUGAGUGAUGAAGGUCUUCGGAUCGUAAAACUCUGUUAUUAGGGAAGAACAUAUGUGUAAGUAACUGUGCACAUCUUGACGGUACCUAAUCAGAAAGCCACGGCUAACUACGUG
rnacentral:rRNA from 1 species